UUACUGGGCAUAUGCUGUUCAGAUUUAAUCUCAAUUUAAUCGUAUGCCACCACAAAUGAAAAUGUUCUCAGGCCAAUUAGAACAUCCAAUGAAAAGGACGAACAAUGAGCGCCGGAAGUUAUUUGACUGACCGGCAAAAUCGCGUUUACAUUGGACGCAACUUCAUUUUAAGGGCUAAAGAAAUCAAAAUGUCUGGAUUUACUCGUUCUUUCGGUUUUCUCAGAAGCAAACUGAGACCACUCACUACUCUGAAAGCCAACAUUUCGGGCAAGCCGGCGAAGCACACUAUAUCCACCGGUGAGCAACUUUUUGUGAUGACCGUGAUGUUUGUCACCGUCCUGGGACCAUCAGGAUGGGUUCUCGCCCAUUUGGAAGAGUACAAAGCCCGCUGAAGUUACCUGGUGGCCUCGGUGACUGGCAGUCCUCCAAGACUGGUCCUUUUCCGUCCUACCAAUGUUUAAAUUGCUUUUAAUGCCCUCAAAGCUCCUAAUAAAUAUAAAGGAAAAAGGCA